rnacentral:rRNA from 1 species
UACGUAGGGUGCGAACGUUGUUCGGAAUCACUGGGCAUAAAGGGCGCGUAGGCGGUCCUGCAAGUCAAGUGUGAAAUCCCUCGGCUUAACCGAGGAACCGCACUUGAUACUGCAGGGCUAGAGUGCAGGAGGGGAGAGCGGAAUUCCUGGUGGAGCGGUGAAAUGCGUAGAUAUCAGGAGGAACGCCGGUGGCGAAAGCGACUCUCUGGUCUGCAACUGACGCUGAGGCGCGAAAGCUAGGGGAGCAAACGGG